CAAAUAUGACCAUGGGAGCUUUUAUUAUGGUAGCCAAAAGUGGAAAACAAUCAAAUUUCUAUCAUAAAUAGAAUGGAUUGAUACAUUGGGACCUGUUCAGUCGAUGGAGUGGAUUACAGCUGCCCCGUGCACCACAGCACAGCCGGAGAACUCCUUCCCCGUGCCAACCCUGGGAAAGGUGCCGUUCUAGGUGUUGUGCAACUGAAACACACCCUCAAAGACCCUACGUCUUCCAGCUGAAGGACACAACCCCAUGAGCCACAUCUAGUGGGCACAGACAUUUUUCCACUGUGCUGGAUUGUUCUACUGUCAGCCUACUUAGACUGGGGGCCAGGCUUCCCAGAAUCAUCUUCCCGUGUGGUUCCAGGUUAAGACUGCCAAAGUGAAGCUGAGGGGGGUGUGGGAGGCAGCUGUGAGGCGGUACCAUCGAAGGUUCCAGGUGGCAAGAGCCAGACGCAGGGGUGCUGCCAAGUUCCAGCUCACCCCAGCUCUGUUCUUCCCAUGUCGCAUCUCGUCCUUCUUCCUGAACUCCUUGCUGACCCACAGGGACCUGAUCCACCACCGGAUGCUUCUGUGUGAAUUCACAGAGGCAGCAGCUCCAAUGUGCCUACAGCCUUCCAUGGGUUUCUGCACCAGCCCCUCCGGGCUCUCACUCCUACAGCUGGACAGGACCCGCUUCCAGGCUUCUCUGCAAUAUCUGACUCGCGCACCUGUGUCCAUGCUUCAAGUGAGCACCUUUUCUCGGACUUCCCUAUGCCCUCUUUCGGACUUUCAUGUCCCCCAGAUGGUCCCAUGGUUGGGUCAGGUCAAAUUCUUAUCAUUUCUGAUAA